rnacentral:rRNA from 1 species
UGGUGAAUAUUGCGCAAUGGGGGAAACCCUGACGCAGCGACGCCGCGUGCGGGAUGAAGUCUUUCGGGUUGUAAACCGCUUUUGAUUGGGAGCAAGCUUUCGGGUGAGUGUACCUUUCGAAUAAGCGUCGGCUAACUACGUGCCAGCAGCCGCGGUAAUACGUAGUGCUCAAGCGUUAUCCGGAAUUAUUGGGCGUAAAGAGCUUGUAGGCGGUUCGUCGCGUCUUGUGUGAAAGCCCAUCGCUUAACGGUGGGUUUGCGCCGGGUACGGGCGGGCUAGAGUGCAGUAGGGGAGACUGGAAUUCCCGGUGUAACGGUGGAAUGUGUAGAUAUCGGGAAGAACACCAAUGGCGAAGGCAGGUCUCUGGGCUGUUACUGACGCUGAGAAGCGAAAGCGUGGGGAGCGAACAGG